AUGCUUACAAAAACUGACUUUAACAGCAGAAAAGCUUUGUAAACGGCGUAGUAUUCGAACUCGGUCUUGCCACCGAAACUUAUGUGUGACGGUGUUGUGGAAUUGGUCUUGAUGCGUCUGUUACUUGCCCAAAGUCAAGAGCUACUUCGAAUUCAAUGAGCUCCGAACGAAAUAAAUAAACUCUGUAUGAGAAAUUCGUAAAGACCAAAGUAUCGCAAUGAUCCAGUUGCAUUACGAACAGGCACUUAGUACAGUACAAUGCCUAGCAAUGGCAACUGUAUAUUGCAUAAGCGCUUGGCAUUCAAAAUACCAAUUAUAUUGAAAGCUAUCUGUGUUCCCUUAUUUAUAUAACCACUUUAUAUUUAGGAUAAGAGCAGAAAUAUUUUGAAUCAAUUAACGAUAAAAGUCGAGGUUCGAUUGUAAAGAAAAAAUAUGUGUUAUUCGCUUAUUCACAAUUUCUCCUGACAAACGGUACCAUACACAAUGUAAAACUUUCCCUUUCUUUGAUUUCAUACAAAUUUCACAAAACAUGGGAAAUUGAUUGCUUACUUAAACUGUCAAUAAUGACGACAUUUACAGGAACCACCCUUUGGUAAAGCUCGUAGGUAACGAAAAGCUGAAAUCAGCUUUCAAGAAGAACAAAAGACUAGUUUCAUCGUAUACAGAAUCCGUCCUCGUCAAGGAAGCGUGUUCAGUGAUCAUGCACGAGGCGACUGGAUGUAGUUAUAAAGACGCCACAGAGGCUCUGCAACGAACGGUGGCCAAAAGUUUUUUCACAGCAUAUAGCCUGGCAAUAACUCACCG